rnacentral:piRNA from 1 species
AAAUUAAAAGAUGGACUGGAGCUU